rnacentral:rRNA from 1 species
GGUGUCCUACGGGGCGCAGCAGUGGGGAAUAUUGCACAAUGGGGGAAACCCUGAUGCAGCGACGCCGCGUGAGUGAAGAAGUAUUUCGGUAUGUAAAGCUCUAUCAGCAGGGAAGAAAAAAGACGGUACCUGACUAAGAAGCCCCGGCUAACUACGUGCCAGCAGCCGCGGUAAUACGUAGGGGGCAAGCGUUAUCCGGAUUUAUUGGGUUUAAAGGGUGCGCAGGCGGAGGUGCAAGUCAGCGGUCAAAUUGCGGGGCUCAACCCCGUACUGCCGUUGAAACUGCAUCCCUUGAGUGCGCGAGA